GACAGAGGAUGCGAACGUUGCUCGGAAUUACUGGGCGUAAAGCGCGCGUAGGUGGCCUUGUAAGUCUCGUGUGAAAGCCCUCUGCUCAACGGAGGAAGUGCACGGGAUACUGCAUGGCUGGAGUACAGAAGAGGACAGCGGAAUUCCCGGUGUAGAGGUGAAAUUCGUAGAUAUCGGGAGGAACACCAGUGGCGAAGGCGGCUGUCUGGGCUGAUACUGACACUGAGGCGCGAAAGCGUGGGAAGCAAACAGGAUUAGAAACCCUAGUAGUCC
rnacentral:rRNA from 1 species